rnacentral:rRNA from 1 species
CACGUAGGGCGCAAGCGUUGUCCGGAAUUAUUGGGCGUAAAGAGCUCGUAGGCGGCUUGUCGCGUCGACUGUGAAAGCCCGCGGCUCAACCGCGGGUCUGCAGUCGAUACGGGCAGGCUAGAGUUCGGUAGGGGAGACUGGAAUUCCUGGUGUAGCGGUGAAAUGCGCAGAUAUCAGGAGGAACACCGAUGGCGAAGGCAGGUCUCUGGGCCGAUACUGACGCUGAGGAGCGAAAGCGUGGGGAGCGAACAGG